rnacentral:rRNA from 1 species
AACGGGUGAGUAAUACAUCGGAACAUGUCCUGUAGUGGGGGAUAGCCCGGCGAAAGCCGGAUUAAUACCGCAUACGAUCUACGGAUGAAAGCGGGGGACCUUCGGGCCUCGCGCUAUAGGGUUGGCCGAUGGCUGAUUAGCUAGUUGGUGGGGUAAAGGCCUACCAAGGCGACGAUCAGUAGCUGGUCUGAGAGGACGACCAGCCACACUGGGACUGAGACACGGCCCAGACUCCUACGGGAGGCAGCAGUGGGGAAUUUUGGACAAUGGGCGAAAGCCUGAUCCAGCAAUGCCGCGUGUGUGAAGAAGGCCUUCGGGUUGUAAAGCACUUUUGUCCGGAAAGAAAUCCUUGGUUCUAAUAUAGCCGGGGGAUGACGGUACCGGAAGAAUAAGCACCGGCUAACUACGUGCCAGCAGCCGCGGUAAUACGUAGGGUGCGAGCGUUAAUCGGAAUUACUGGGCGUAAAGCGUGCGCAGGCGGUUUGCUAAGACCGAUGUGAAAUCCCCGGGCUCAACCUGGGAACUGCAUUGGUGACUGGCAGGCUAGAGUAUGGCAGAGGGGGGUAGAAUUCCACGUGUAGCAGUGAAAUGCGUAGAGAUGUGGAGGACAUACCGAUGGCGAAGGCAGCCCCCUGGGCCAAUA